AUUGAACGCUGGCGGAAUGCUUUACACAUGCAAGUCGAACGGCAGCACGAGAGCUUGCUCUUGGUGGCGAGUGGCGAACGGGUGAGUAAUAUAUCGGAACGUAUCCAAUAAUGGGGGAUAACUAAUCGAAAGGUUAGCUAAUACCGCAUACGCCCUACGGGGGAAAGCAGGGGAUCUUCGGACCUUGCGCUAAUAGAUGAGCCUAAGUCGGAUUAGCUAGUUGGUGGGGUAAAGGCCUACCGAGGCGACGAUCUGUAGCGGGUCUGAGAGGAUGAUCCGCCACACUGGGACUGAGACACGGCCCAGACUCCUACGGGAGGCAGCAGUGGGGAAUAUUGGACAAUGGGCGAAAGCCUGAUCCAGCAAUGCCGCGUGAGUGAUGAAGGCCUUAGGGUUGUAAAGCUCUUUUACCAGGGAUGAUAAUGACAGUACCUGGAGAAUAAGCUCCGGCUAACGUCCGUG
rnacentral:rRNA from 1 species